AUGGGGGUGGCAGAAUAAUGUGUUCGUUUUAAGCUCGAAAGAUGGGUUAUAAGGCCCCCCCCAUU